AUGCGGGGAAACUUGCACGUGUGGUUCUGGCCGGGGACCCCGAUAUGGUCCGGUAUUCCCUUGUUCCCUGUAUUGGUUAUGUUCCUUAUUCCUCGUCUAGCAGAAACUAAUCGAGCUCCGUCUGAUCUCCUAGAAGAGGAAGCUGAAUUAGUUGCAGGCUAUAAUGUAGAAUAUGCGCGGGAUGCGAUCCUUAAUAGUUCACUGUUGGCGGAAGCCAAUGUCUCGGGGACUCAUUCUGACUGA
rnacentral:rRNA from 1 species